ACGGAGGGUGCAAGCGUUAUUCGGAAUCAUUGGGCGUAAAGGGCGCGUAGGCGGUUUUUUAAGUCAGAUGUGAAAGCCCGGGGCUUAACCCCGGAAGUGCAUUUGAAACUGAAAGACUUGAGUAUGGGAGAGGGAAGUGGAAUUCCUGGUGUAGAGGUGAAAUUCGUAGAUAUCAGGAGGAACACCGGUGGCGAAGGCGACUUCCUGGACCAAUACUGACGCUGAGGCGCGAAGGCGUGGGUAGCAAACAGGAUUAGAUACCCUGGUAGUCCACGCAGUAAACGGUGAACACUAGGUGUAGCGGGUAUUGACCCCUGCUGUGCCGAAGUUAACGCAUUAAGUGUUCCGCCUGGGAAGUACGGUCGCAAGAUUA
rnacentral:rRNA from 1 species